UCCGUAGGUGGCAAGCGUUGUCCGGAAUUAUUGGGCGUAAAGCGCGCGCAGGCGGUCCUUUAAGUCUGAUGUGAAAGCCCACGGCUCAACCGUGGAGGGUCAUUGGAAACUGGGGGACUUGAGUGCAGGAGAGAAGAGUGGAAUUCCACGUGUAGCGGUGAAAUGCGUAGAGAUGUGGAGGAACACCAGUGGCGAAGGCGACUCUGUGGCCUGUAACUGACGCUGAGGCGCGAAAGCGUGGGGAGCAAACAGG
rnacentral:rRNA from 1 species